rnacentral:rRNA from 1 species
CAGUAGCCGCGGUAAUACGUAGGUGGCAAGCGUUGUCCGGAAUUAUUGGGCGUAAAGGGCUCGCAGGCGGUUUCUUAAGUCUGAUGUGAAAGCCCCCGGCUCAACCGGGGAGGGUCAUUGGAAACUGGGAAACUUGAGUGCAGAAGAGGAGAGUGGAAUUCCACGUGUAGCGGUGAAAUGCGUAGAGAUGUGGAGGAACACCAGUGGCGAAGGCGACUCUCUGGUCUGCAACUGACGCUGAGGAGCGAAAGCGUGGGGAGCGUACAGGAUUAGAUACCCCUGUAGUCCCUGUCUCUUAUAC